rnacentral:rRNA from 1 species
UACGUAGGGGGCAAGCGUUGUCCGGAAUCAUUGGGCGUAAAGCGCACGUAGGCGGCCCUGUAAGUCCGUUGUGAAAGUCAAAGGCUCAACCUUUGAAUGCCCGAUGGAUACUGCAGGGCUAGAGUCCGGAAGAGGCGAGUGGAAUUCCUGGUGUAGCGGUGGAAUGCGCAGAUAUCAAGGAGGAACACCAAUAGCGAAGGCAGCUCGCUGGGACGGUAACUGACGCUAAGGGUGCGAAAGCGUGGGGAGCCAACAGG